GCUGUAGGAAAAUAUCAAUCAAAUUCAUAGAGAAAUUUAUGUGGAUAUCGGAAUAGUUUGACAAAUCAAAGCUAAAAACCGCGUUGAUCCAUUGACUAACAAGGCUGUGUGGCUAUUAAUUCCCAAGUCUUUGCGUCAUCUAACAAUGACCUUGAUCUCUUACUAAUAUUUAUGAGGGUGUUUGUUUGCCCUUACUAAUUAUCACUGGAUUAGACUGAACUAACUGUUAGUCUAAUCCCAUAUUUGUUAUUAUGUGGGACUAAUGUUAAUGAGAUUAGCAGAAAACAAGUUCGGGAUGCUUCUUGCCCAUCUCCUUUGCAAGAAAACAGUUCCAGUGUCAUGAAAAGGCUCCAUAGGCUAUACUCCCCUAGUAAAUAUUUUUUUGUGUAUAUAUAUAUUAUUUGUGCUUGAACUGUGUUUUUGUUUAUAUCCUGAUUUUUGUGAAGUCGCACAUGAGAACCUAGCUACUUUUUGUGGUUAUAACUUAAAGAGUAUAGAAUGAGAAGCGAGGUGUCAACAUAUGUUUAACCAUUGUGUUUAUUUGGAUUGGAAACCGAUUAAAUCCUAAUUUUCCUUGAUUUUCAUAUCUAAAUAUCCAAGAAAAAAGCCACUUGAUACUACGGUCAAGUGAUAUUCCUUUUCACUUGUAAGUGAGAUGUCUUAGUUUCGAUUCUCGCAUCCAAGAAAAGAUACUAAGUACUAUGUACUAAUGGUGUUACUUUGUACUGUUAAGUGAGAAACAUGCACACCCGCACACACAAUUUUAUUGGUUUUUUGUUCUCUGUUUUUAGAUGUUUAUGGAUUUAGAAUUUCAUGGGUGAAAUGCAUUUGGUCUAAAUUGCAGGUGACGAAAACACAGAGAGCCAGCAAAGCUUCGUAGAGAGGAGGCAUGAGUUUCCUGUGAUAUGAAAUUAUCUACAGAAAAGUUCUCAAAGGUGGUUACAGUGGAGACGAAUAUUCAGAACAUAGUGGACAAGUUGAUAGGAUUUUUACCACCUGCAAAAGUAGGGAUAAAAAUAUUUAAAAAUACUUGCAAGAGUACAAGGUUGUCGUAGUAUAGCAACUCAAGUAAGGUCGUUUUCCGCAGGGAUUGAAUGAAUAAU